ACGAGAAAGUCACUUCGGUGGCGAGUACAGUGGCGCACGGGUGAGUAACGCGUAGAUGAUCUACCCUUCAGUCUGGGACAACUCUUGGAAACGGGAGCUAAUACCGGAUAAAACCUUCGGGUCGAAAGAUUUAUCGCUGGAGGAUGAGUCUGCGUACCAUUAGCUUGUUGGUGGGGUAACGGCCUACCAAGGCAACGAUGGUUAGCGGGUCUGAGAGGACGAUCCGCCACACUGGAACUGAGACACGGUCCAGACUCCUACGGGAGGCAGCAGUAGGGAGUAUUGCGCAAUGGGGGCAACCCUGACGCAGCAAUGCCGCGUGAGUGAAGCAGGCCUUCGGGUCGUAAAGCUCUUUUACGGGGGAAGAUAAUGACGGUACCCCAUGAAUAAGCACCGGCUAACUACGUGCCAGCAGCCGCGGUAAUACGUAGGGUGCGAGCGUUGUUCGGAAUUACUGGGCGUAAAGGGCGUGCAGGCGGAUUGGCAAGCCGGAGGUGAAAGCCCGGGGCUCAACCCCGGAGGGUCUUUCGGAACUGCCAGUCUUGAGAGGGUCAGGGGCCAGCGGAAUUCCUGGUGUAGAGGUGAAAUUCGUAGGGAUCAGGAGGAACACCGGCGGCGAAAGCGGCUGGCUGGGGCCACUCUGACGCUGAGGCGUGAAAGCGUGGGGAGC
rnacentral:rRNA from 1 species